rnacentral:rRNA from 1 species
AGUGAACGCUGGCGGUAGGCCUAACACAUGCAAGUCGAACGGCAGCACAGUAAGAGCUUGCUCUUACGGGUGGCGAGUGGCGGACGGGUGAGGAAUACAUCGAAAUCUACUUUUUCGUGGGGGAUAACGUAGGGAAACUUACGCUAAUACCGCAUACGACCUACGGGUGAAAGCAGUGGAUCUUCUGACCUUGCGCGAUUGAAUGAGCCGCUGUCGGAUUAGCUAGUUGGCGGGGUAAAGGCCCACCAAGGCGACGAUCGGUAGCUGGUGUGAGAGGAGGGUCGCCCACACUGGAACUGGGACACGGUCCAGGCUCCUACGGGAGGCAGCAGUGGGGAAUAUUGGACAAUGGGCGCAAGCCUGAUCCAGCCAUACCGCGUGGGAGACGAAGGCCUUCGGGUUGUAAAGCCCUUUUGUUGGGAAAGAAAGGCAGCAGGUUAAUACCCCGCUGUUCUGACGGUACCCAAAGAAUAAGCACCGGCUAACUUCGUG